UAUACUAUGCAUUUUUGGUAUUCGAAAGAUAAAUAUUUGGAUCUGUAAACCAAUAAAGAAUCACAUAAUUGGAGAAAAGAAACCAAGAAAAAACAAACAAUGGUAGGAGAAUAGAUUAUUUCAGAGAUCAUCGAAAAAAUGUUUCGUUGUGACCAUUUUCCACUACUUCGGUAAAUAUCAAAACAGUACCUAGUAAGGAAAAAACUUUCGGAAGGCCGAUAAUGAUGCAAGACGUAGUAUAAAGGAUCUUUAGGUGGAACACAUUGGACGAUUUCAACGAUGGUUAUGAGCUGGAAGAUUGGUAUUGAGAACGGUUAAGAUUUAUUAA